rnacentral:rRNA from 1 species
GAUGAACGCUAGCGGGAGGCCUAAUACAUGCAAGUCGAACGGUAACAGGGGUAGCAAUACCCGCUGACGAGUGGCGCACGGGUGCGUAACGCGUACACAAUCUGCCUUAUGCUGGAGCAUACCCCCAAGAAAUUGGGACUAACUCUCCAUAACAUAUUUAGUAGGCAUCUACAGAAUAUUAAAACUCCGGUGGUAUAAGAUGAGUGUGCGUCCGAUUAGGUAGUUGGUGAGGUAAAGGCUCACCAAGCCAACGAUCGGUAGCUGGUCUGAGAGGACGAUCAGCCACACGGGCACUGAGACACGGGCCCGACUCCUACGGGAGGCAGCAGUAGGGAAUAUUGGACAAUGGGCGCAAGCCUGAUCCAGCCAUCCCGCGUGAAGGAUUAAGGCCCUAUGGGUUGUAAACUUCUUUUCUCUGGGAAUAACGACUCUUGCGAGAGGCAUUGACGGUACUGUAUGAAUAAGCACCGGCUAACUCCGUGCCAGCAGCCGCAGUAAGAC